rfam:Capsicum annuum cultivar Zunla-1 chromosome 5, whole genome shotgun sequence
GCCCACGCAGGGACCACAGAUCAAGUAAACUAUACUUUCACCUUUUACUAAAGAAUACUGUAUGCACGGUGCAAAUAGUGGCAUACGCCUGUUUUUGGAGCGUACAACUUCUAGGAUGU